UAUUGCCUUUGGAUGAACCCGCGUUAGAUUAGCUAGUUGGUGAGGUAAGAGCUCACCAAGGCUCCGAUCUAUAGCUGGCCUGAGAGGAUGAUCAGCCACACUGGGACUGAGACACGGGCCCAGACUCCUACGGGAAGGCAGCAGUGGGGAAUAUUGGAACAAUGGGGGGGCAACCCCUGAUCCAUGCUCAUGCCGCGUGCGUGAAGAAGGCCCUAGGGUUGUAAAGCGCUUUCAACGGUGAAGAUGAUGACGGUAACCGUAGAAGAAGCACCGGCUAACUUCGUGCCAGCAGCCGCGGUAAUACGAAGGGUGCAAGCGUUGCUCGGAAUCACUGGGCGUAAAGCGGACGCAGGCGGAACGUUAAAUUGGAUGUGAAAGCCCCGGGCUCAACCUGGGAACUGCAUUCAAAACUGGCGUUCUUGAGUUCGAGAGAGGGUGGUGGAAUUCCUGGUGUAGAGGUGAAAUUCGUUGAUAUCAGGAGGAACACCGGUGGCGAAGGCGGCCACCUGGCUCGAUACUGACGCUCAUGUCCGAAAGCGUGGGGAGCAAACAGGAUUAGAUACCCUGGUAGUCCACGCCGUAAACGAUGAAUGCUAGGUGUUGGGGAUAUUCACUUUCUCAGUGCCGUAAGUUAACGCAUUAAGCAUUCCGCCUGGGGAGUACGGUCCGCAAGACUAAAACUCAAAGGAAGGAAUUGGACCGGGGCCCGCCACAAGCGGUGGAGUAUUGGUUGGUUAAUUUCGAUGAUACGCGAGGGAACCUUACCAAGGCUUAAAUGCAGAUUGACCAGGUUUGGAGACAGACCCUUCUUCGGACAAUUUGCAAGGUGCUGCAUGGUUGUCGUCAGCUCGUGCCGUGAGGUGUCAGGUUAAGUCCUAUAACGAGCGCAACCCCUGUUGUUAGUUACCAGCAAGAAAGAUGGGGACUCUAGCGAGACUGCCGGUGAUAAGCCGGAGGAAGGCGGGGAUGACGUCAAGUCCUCAUGGCCCUUAUGGGCUGGGCUACACACGUGCUACAAUGGCGGUUACAGUGGGCAGCUACACAGCGAUGUGAUGCUAAUCUCCAAAAACCGUCUCAGUUCGGAUUGUUCUCUGCAACUCGAGAGCAUGAAGUCGGAAUCGCUAGUAAUCGUGGAUCAGCAUGCCACGGUGAAUACGUUCCCGGGCCUUGUACACACCGCCCGUCACACCAUGGGAGUUGGUUCUACCCGAAGCCGGUGCGCUAACCUUUUAGGAGGCAGCCGACCACGGUAGGGUCAGCGACUGGGGUGAAGUCGUAACAAGGUAGCCCUAGGGGAACCUGCGGCUGGAUCACCUCCUU
rnacentral:rRNA from 2 species